rnacentral:misc_RNA from 1 species
CAGAGUGUAAAAACUCCCAAACCCACUGUGAACAUACCACUGUUGCUUCGGCAGGACCGCCCCAGGCGCGCUCGCGUGCCCUGGAACCAGGCGCCCGCCGGGGACCCCCCAAACCACUGUUUUCAUGAGGAUCUCUGAGUGUGAUUCCACAGAAUCAAUCA